rnacentral:tRNA from 1 species
CAAGAGCGCUGAGAAAUUGGCGUACCUAUUGGACUGAAAAUCCAAGGAUUCGUGGGUUCGAUUCCUACACUCUUUA